rnacentral:hammerhead_ribozyme from 1 species
AUCCUGUUGAUGAGUCUCAAACAGGACGAAACAGCUGUCCAGUGU